CCUUGUUUUCCAUCUCCCUCGUCGCCCCACCAUGCAUUGACCAUCAUAAUCUUCUCCGAGAGUGCAAAGUGUCAAUGAUUGCAUUAGCAACGUUUGCCUAUGUUUUGAUGAAGACAAGGAAUUAACUAAAGCUUGAAGAUGACUCAAUAAUCAACAUGUCGAAUACUCAAGUGGUGUCUUAUUAGACUUAUGUCAUAAUUCUUUAUUAUCUUUUUAGAAGUCUAAGAUGCUUCCCAUAAAUAUUGAGUCUAGGUUAGGUAAACCUAGGUGUGAGUCUCACAAGACUUAAUAAAGUAAUUAAUCCACUAAAAUGAGACAUCAUCUAGAAAUAUAUGAUAAGUAGGUCCAUGCAUUUAUAUAGAUUGAUUUUAUGCAUUAAAUGUAUUAUACUUUGGAAAUCAUGUAUUGCACGAGCAUAUAUCAUAUAAGUAGUUUACCAUUUAAUCAUGUAUUAAAAAUACACUGGUUAAUCGAUUAACCCCAUGUCUUAAUCGAUUAACGUAAGUAUUUUCUGCUGUUUUAACAGCAUAACUGAAAAACCGUUUUUGAGAGCCAAAUUCUGUUUUGUAUAAAUACUGGCUUAAUUGCAUAAAUGACUAUGUAGAAAAAGAGAGAAAAACAUAAAGAAAAAGAUAUAGAUUAUCAUUGUUAGAAUAUAUAAAGAAAGUGUUAAAUUAGGAGAAAAUUUGGAUCAUGCUAAGACUUUAGCUUUCAUAUUCAUCUUGCAUGUUUCUUUCAAAAGCUUUCUUGCAUUAUUCUUUUGUUUCUUGAAAAGAAAAGAAAUAGUUUUUAAAUAGUUUUCAUUCUCUACUAUGCUCCAUCUGCUUCUCUAUGUUGCAUCAAUUUUCUAGGAUGAUUCCUUCAUUUUCUGUUAUUUUAGAUACUAUUCUACACAUUCAAUUAUUUCCUUUUUCACUUCUUUUACCUAUUUUAUUUUUACAAUUAUAACAAUUUUAAUAAUAAUAAUAAUAAUAAUAAUAAUAAUAAUACCAACAUAUAUAAUAAUAAAUAAAAUUAAGUCGAGUAACAAUUAAUUAAUAAAUUAUUAUGAUGGGGUUUUUAAAAAAAAAAUAUUAUUUUUUAAUAUAAUUAAUAUAUGGUUUUUUAAGAAUAAAAGGAUGUUUUUAUGAUUAAUUUUUUAAAUUAAAAUAAUAAGGGUGGAGAGAAGGAUGUGAUGACACUUAUUUUCAUUUAAUAUAACAACAUUUUGAUAUAAAAAACAAUUAUUAAAAGUAAAAAAUAUUUUUUAAAUAACAUAAUAUGUGCAAAAUAUAAUAAAUAUGAAUAUUUUCUUAAUUAAUAUAAAAAUAUAAAAUACAAUAUCAUAUUAAGGAUAAGAGUAAUUGUGAAUAUUAAUUUCUUUUCUUUAACCUAUCUUUUAAACGGUGGCACAAUAUCACUUCUAUUCCUAAAAAUACAUAAAACACACCUAACUAAUUAAUUUUUUUCUACCGUGAAUUAUGGAAGCUUUGAUUCCUAAUUGCAUAUAAUACCUAUGAGUGAAAUAUUUUUCUACCAAAAAUUAUCCAAUAUAGAAAUAUUUCUUUUCCUUUAUAAUUAACAUAAUUAAUCAAAAUAUUUCUUUGGCUUAUAGUAGUCUUUUUGCUUGUGAAUUUUUGAGUUUUCCUUUGCAAUAGAUAAAAACUUUUGAAGUAGAGGACUCAGUGGCCUAGAGAUACAUGAAAUAAAAAAUUAAAAUACAACUCAUCAAUAGUAGCUACGAGUUAUGAGAGAAAGAAAAUAAAUAAAGUAAGCAAUAUUCUACAUCCACGACUUUAUUUAAAAUUGUCAAUCUCAUCCACGACUCCCUUAAAAAUAUACAAACUUGUAAAUAAUUUAAAGUAUGUACUAAGAUUGUAAUUUUGUAGAAGAUAGACAUGUAAUGUAAAUUUGCCAACAAAGGUGGACAAUAUCAUUUCCUUCUUUGGGUAGAAGAUAAAGGAUUUCUAAAAGUUCAAUAGUGUUCACGAUUUUGAACAUAGUAGCAACGUUCAUGUUCGAAAAAAAAAACAAAAAUAAGCAAUAAACACCCAUACAAGAAUGAAUUGAAUUUUCACAUAGGAAAGUAGAAUUUAAAUGAACAAGAAAAAAUAUUCAAAAUAUUCUUGUGUGUCAUCAAAAUUCAUUUCCCCCUUCAUAUUUACUAAAAGGUGGUUUUGUUGUAACCCCCACCAAAGCAGUGUAACCUAGGCUUCAUAUAUGAACAAGAAAAUUACAACCAUUUAAAUUCUUGACAGCCUAUAUAGUUGAAGCAGUGUCACAAGGAGAAUGAACAAGAUUUCACAGUACAUAUCUACAAUUUGUUCCAAUGACAAGUGUAAGAAGCCACAACCUCUUGUCGCAGUGAAAACAGUACAUUUAAAUGUCCCCAUGGGACUUAGGUUAUGAUAAGUGUAAUAUUUAUGUAUGAAAGUGUAAUAAUUUAUAACAAAUAUAUUAAGACUACCAAAAACAUGCUUUGUUAUCCCCAAAAAUACAAAUUCACGGUCCCCUUAGAAUCCAUCAUUAUGUUUAUUCCUUUAAUGUCUAUAAACAAAAUCUAGUAAUUAAUUAGAACAUAUGAAAUUACUCAACAACAAAAUUAAAUGUAAAGACUAUAAUAGAAACAUAUAACUUAUAAGUAGUAGUUAUCUAUUAACAAUGUAUCUAGCAUGUAAAUAUUAUGCAAGACCUAAUACAAUCUGUCUAGUAUAAUUACGAAUAGAAGAUUCACCAAAAUGACCAUAUUAUUGGAAUACCUAAUCUAUAACAGAAAUCUUACAUGGAAAUGAAAACAAACUAAUUGUAGUCAAAUUUGGUGAAGCUCACAUUCACAAUUAUACUAGACAUGUUUUGUUAUGUCUUGCAUAUUUACAAGAUAUUGUCCAUAGGUAACUAUUCUUACAAGUUCCACUUCUACUGUAGGUUUCCUUUUAAUUUGUUUGCUAAAAUAUUUUUCUAUGUUAUAAUUAUUGAAAUUUGUUCUUUGACAUUGAAGGGGCAAAUUUUUGAUGGAUCCUAAUGGGACUGUAAAAUUGGUAGAUUUUGAGAUAACAAAGUAUUUAAGAGCAUUUAUAAGAUGAGGAAAAAAAUGUACUGACUCAUAACUUAGUGUUCCAAUAUUAUAUCUGAUUCAUAUUUAAUAACAUCAAUUUUGACAAAUGUGAGCUAAUAUAUAAAAUUUAUAAUGGUAACUUUUUUCAAAUGUGAGUGAACUGCAUGUCUUUUCAUAUAUUAGAUUGGACAUAUAGAAGAAAAAGUGAUAACAAAACUGCUGUUAGCAUUCCUCAUAUAAAAAGUAAUGACAAUAUGUGUGCUAUAUGUGUAAGCUGAUCACAAAAGUGAGAUUCAUUAUACACAGAUAUUCCUAUUCAAAACUUAAAAAAAAAAAAAAAAAACAUAGAAUAUCACAUAUAAAUUCCCCAUCUCCCCCUUCCACCAACAAUACAAUAUCUAUCUCACUCUUCAACUUCAUUAUUUUCUUUUCACAUCAAUGACACGUUAGAAGUAAACUACCUGCAAAUCUAUUUGCUUUGAGGGACACCUCGAAAAGUCAAAAUACCAUAAGGAUAUGGACAUUUUGAAAUUAUGGAUAAUUUGCUUUGAUGCAUUAAUGAUGAUGCGAAAAGAAAAUAAUGAGAUGAAGAAUGAAAUUGUGAAUUAGUAUUAUUGGAUGGAGAGAGAAAAUAAUAUGGCAUUGGAGGAUUUAUAGGUGAGAAGGUCUGGGUAAAGAUUUGGAGACUGAUUAGUUGUGAUAUUUGUGGAAUGAGAGUGAUUUUGGGUUUUGAAGUUCCAGACUAAUGAUUUGUUGGUACUAAAUCUUCUAGUUUGGAACUUUGGAUUGAAUUUUUUUUUGUAAUACUAAGAGUAUAUCAUCAUUUUUUUGGGUACUUUUUGGAUAUAAAUUUCUUUUAAGGUGUGUGACCGUCCCUCCCAAUAAAUGUUGCUCUUAGGAAUUGAAUCUUACCUUUUGAUCAUCCUAAAAUAUAGUAAAACCUGACACAACUAGAUCAAUACUUUGUUGGUACUUUGAAUUUAGUUAUACAUAUAGCAUAUUGUGAUAUUGAGUUAUGCACUAGAAAAAGCAUCCUCUAUUAAAUUGAUUUAACAAUGUCACAUUUAUGAAAAUGAUUGAUUCAAUUAAAUUGGUGUGCGGGUUAAGUAUCAUAUGUUUACAUAAAUUUAAGUUGACAUGUUAAGUUUAAAAAGAUAUAAUGAAAUUAUUCAUACCUAAUAGUUUCUUUGACUAUAAGUUGAUAGAUCUUUUGACAUUGAACCCCACAAUCUUCAACCUAUAAACAAAAAAAUCAUAUGAGAUUAGCUAAAAUGAAAUACAAAUAAGAUUGUAAUUUUUGUCAACAUGAAGAACCAUAACAUGCAGCAACGUCUUCAAUAUAGAAGAUGUGUCAAAUAUCAAUAGAGAAACCACCGACCCAAAAAUUGUGAAGAAGACCUUUGCUCAUGAUCUUGACACAGUUUUGAUAAAGACACCAACAUCAUCAAAAAGAAGAAAAGGAAGAAUACUUAUGAAGACAAAGAAGAUUAAAGCUUCAAGAAGAUUAGAAUAAGUUUAUAUAGAUACUUCUAUCCUAACACUCUUAGGUAUGCAAAGUAGUAAUGCUCAAACUAUUUUUAAAAGAAUAAUGAAACACUUUGAAAAUACUUAAAACAAUUUUUAAAAAGAUGUGUAACGGGUUACUCAAUUCAAGUAACAAGUUACAUGUGAGAGAACAAGAGUUAUCCAACUUAAAACUGCUGAGAGUAAUCCAUUAUUGCAUUUGAGUAACAGAUUACCAGUUUUACAAAAGUUGAGUAACCGAUUACCCAAAUGGUGUAAUCGAUUACUCAAAUGGUGUAAUCGAUUACUCAAAUUCGAAUUUAUAAAUUCAGUGGACAGAAUGUUUGGGUAAUUGAUUACCCAAUGUAAGUAAUCGAUGACUGAGGACUGUUGAAAGAGAUUUCAAAACGAAAUCUCUUCACUCCAAACAAAAUCUCUUCACUCCAAACAACUCCUACACUUUCAGAAAGGCACCCUGGAUGUUUGGAAAGCCUAGAUAAAGACUCUAAACUCUCACAAAAUCAACACGCAGCUUUCACACAACUCUCAUAAAUUCUCUCAUUGUUUUUCUGCACUUUUGCACUAAGUCCUUAAUCUUUCAAAAGAGAAUUUAUUCUGAGUAAUUGCUUCAAAAAGUUUUCACAAUUAUAUUGAGCAUUAUUACUAAGCAUAUAAAGACAGUUAAUUGGAUUGCAAGUGAUAUAAUAUUUCAUACUUGUAAAGACAAUCCAAAGUCAUUGUUGUAAUUCUUCAUUCAUUGCAAACAAUCUUUCUUUCACAUGGUGUGAAUAGAAAGGGGAUAGAGUGACUUGGAAAAGUAUUUUCCAAUGUAUAAAUAUUAGUGAGUGUGUUGUCUAAGUUACAGAGAGAUCUCGGGGUGAGAUAUUAUAAUUACAACUCUUAAUAGUGGAAAUCUCUUGUGCUGCAAGAGUACUUGACGUAACCUUCGGUGGACAAGAAGGUGAACCAGUAUAAAAUACUGGUGUACUCUCCUUUGCUUUUCCUCUUUACUUUAUACUUGUUUAUUUUUCUACAAUAUUAUUCGCUGCACAUUAACUCUUAUAUUUUAAGUCAACCAAUCCACCCUCUCUUAAUUGCAAUCCUAUUCUUACCAAAAUGUAACAUAAAUAGAUAAGGAGUUAUGCCAAAAUGAAGAAAUUUUGUGAAAUAAUAGUAUGGAGAGGCUUUUGACAUAGUGAACAAUAUAGAGUAAUAGAAAUAAAGCUUCUCAUAGAAGCUUUGAUAAGAAAUUAUAAAGAAAAAGCAAGAAAAAUUCAUAAAAUAAGAAGAGAAAUGCCAUGAGAGAGGAUAAUGACCCAUGCAUGUUUAUAAUAAAAAUCAUCAACAUAAAUCUAAGCAUAGAAAAACAAAAACAAAACAAAUAGAAUAAGAAAAAGAAGGAACUUACUCUUCAUCCUCAAUCUGUUGUUACAUGUCGCCAAAGUUGUUCUUUUCGCCAACUAGAGCUUCCUCAAAACAACUUCACUAUAAUAAAUUUUACUCAUCCUCAAGUGUCUAAUGGGUACAAAAGUUGUCCCGUAGAUUUAGAGAGACUUUA
rnacentral:lncRNA from 1 species